rnacentral:lncRNA from 1 species
CCGUUUGCCAACUGUUGCGCGUCAAGAAGUUCAUGUCGUCAUUGCCCUUUCGAAGCCUGUCUUCAAGGUCAACCUGGCCGUCGCAGUUAAUAUCGUUUUAUUUGUCUAGACGACAUGCACUUCUUUGUCUCUUUACGCUGCUGAGGAAAAAACCCGCCCUGGCAGGCAACAGCUCCCAGUAGGCAACAAUACAAAACCCGCCCUGGCAUUUUUUGUGUUUUUAUAGCUCUCCAUGCAUGGAAUUGCCUCGUCCCAUUAUCAUGCCUCCGCGCGCGGGCAAGACUUUGCGACCGUCGGCUUGGGGAGUUCAAGAACGAAGACAGCGAUCGGAGCUAGUGUGCAGUGGGUGUCCUGUACUGAGCUUUCUUCUCAGCGCAAAACAUCAUUAUGGUGAAACGGCGAAACCGCAGGACCGAAGGACUGCCAGCCCCCUGCACGACUGCAAGGAUUGGACAUUUUAUUCUUUGUGCAUCAGAGUCCACAUUCCUGUUAGUUUUUAAUGCCAAGUCGCACAUGAAUUGGGUGCUGAUCUUUCUAUUAUGGGAUCCCAAAGAGUCCGUCGCGAUAGGGUUUCAUGUAUCCCAUGACUGUUUCCUU